CUAUAUUAAUAUCCUAAAACCUAACCCUAUUUUCCUUUUUUCUCCUUGUUCACUUUGAAAACACCAAGCAUUGCUCCCUUAGCUCCAAACUUCGUCCAUUAGCAGUGCAUAUCACCAGUGAAACCCCUGCUUCACCCUCACUUAUGAGGACAACCACCAAGAGAGUCCCUCUGCUUCAUAUCUCUCCUCAUGGAACUUCUCCAACCACCAGCGGACAUCAACCGCUUCACCACCCGAACUAGUUUCCCCUCUCUUCCCCUUUCUGUUUACUUCUGCCUCUCUUCACUUCUCUUCUGACCGGCGAAGUGUCGAAUCAUGCAAUCUCAACCCGUCUCCUUCUCUUAUAUUCAUUUGUUCUGACCAAACACUUCGGCAAGACAACUCCCGAGAAGUCAAGACUACCACCAUCCUUCCUAGCGAGAUCGACAAUAACAAAAACAAGAGCUUCUUUGCUCCGCCGCUAUCUCCAGCUAGACCUGACAGAGCCUUGAGGGGGCUAUUUAAUAGAUCCGUGCAGGUUCCUUUUUUUUUUAAUUUCAAUUAUUAUAUCAUCUUAUAAACAACUUUCUUAAGUUAUCUAGAUGUUUUAGUAUAAUAGUUUUUAUUACAUUCUUACGCUACAUGAAAUUCAAUAAUAUCCAUGAAAUCUCUAUUAAACAUGAUUUCCUUAUGAUUUUGAGUUCCUAAACUUGUGCAUUUUCUGCCUUGUGUGUUUCCAUUUUUUUAAAAAAACUUAAUUAUCCCCUUUUGUAAAUGGGUUUUAGUGUGCCCUUGAGUUUUUCUUUAGAAACUCUGACAGAGUUGUGGUUACUUUAUCUAAUAGUAGCAAGCCUUAAUAUGAGAAUUUUACUUAUUUGCUUAAUGAAUUGAUUGAUUAUUCUAAAAAUCUUCAUGAUUCAUGUUUCUUUCCAUUUUUUACCUAAUCGAAUGGUACAAAUUAAUAUUUAUCUAUUGUUGGUAAACUAUGUUAUGAUUCUUCUUCUUGAUUGACUAUUUUAUUCUCCGACUUUUCUUUUUUUUUAGUUAGUGUGAACAACAUCGACUUAAUUGUUUCUGCUAAACUUUUGAUAGUUAUGGUAAGUAAAUAUACAUAUGUGAUGUUCAAAUACAGCAGUCUAUAAAUCAUGUUAUUUUGGACUGAUUUGUUGGACUUUAUUAACAUGGCUCCUUCAAAAUUAUAAGUUCAUUCAUGAUUCUUGCCUUCUAUUUUUUAUGAAAGAUUCAUCGAUGGUAAUUUCUAAUUAUCAAUUGGCUAUUGCAUUAUUUUAGUAUCAAUUGAUUGAUGGUAAAAUCCAUGCAUUAAAGUUUCCUGUUACUUGUUUAUUUUUUUAAAAAAACAUUGACUUAGUAGCAUUUUUUAUUAACUGGAUUUUAAAGCCGCAUUGUUAUGAUAAUAUUGAUAAAUUAAAUGCCAAGAAUGAGGGUCUAAUUGAGGAGAAUAAUUUUCUUUCUUUUUCUCUAUUUUUAUACUUAUUGAUGUGCCCUAUAUAUUUUACUUUAAAUACAAGACUAUACAUUAUGUCCACAUUCUUAAACAAGAACAAUACUCUCGUACAAUCUCAAAAGCAAUAAUAUUUUUACGUACUACCUUAAAAGUUUUUUUUGUUCUUGUGGCUGCACGAAGUAUGAACUUCGGUUCUAAAAUCAAGUUUUAUGAGCUUAUUUGAAUACUGUUAGACCGGUUGGUGAUCUUUAGAAGAAUUAUAAGAUGUGAUAUGUUCAAGAUAGUUACUCCAUUAUUUUAUUUUGUUAUCUUCUCUUACUUUAGUGUCCUUAUAAGCUUACUUUUCUUGAGAAUACCUUUAUUACUUUAGUAUUUCAUUGUAAGGUACUACUAAAAAACAUACUCCUACCCCUUUGAAUAUUGUUUGCACGUACACUAUAAUGAAAUGACAUUACUUGUAAUCCAAUCAUGACAAGUGGAGAACUCAACGCGAGAAGCCGAGCUAAAGUGGAAUCGUCACCCCAAAAGGGGAAUCAGGUGGUGGCAAGUGAGGAUUGCUAGAAGUUCAAGCAUGAGAAGUAGAUUUCUCUCAAGAUUGCUAUAUCCUCAUAUGAUGAAGGACAUGGAUCUUAGUUCUAGUUUUAUUUUAUUAAAGACUUUCUAUGAUAUAUAAGUUUUCUAUUAGUGACAUGGAUAUGACUUUAUGAUGUUGUCAUGUGUCUGAGAUUGCUUAUGAUGAGACUUAGUUUCUCCUUACGUUUUAUACAAGAGUUUCAUCGUUGACUUUA